rnacentral:rRNA from 1 species
GAGUUUGAUCCUGGCUCAGAUUGAACGCUGGCGGCAGGCUUAACACAUGCAAGUCGAACGGUAACAUGAGUGCUUGCACUUGAUGACGAGUGGCGGACGGGUGAGUAAAGUAUGGGGAUCUGCCGAAUGGAGGGGGACAACAGUUGGGAAACGACUGCUAAUACCGCAUAAAGUUGAGAGACCAAAGCAUGGGACUUACGGGCCAUGCGCCAUUUGAUGAACCCAUAUGGGAUUAGCUAGUUGGUAGGGUAAUGGCUUACCAAGGCGACGAUCUCUAGCUGGUCUGAGAGGAUGACCAGCCACACUGGAACUGAGACACGGUCCAGACUCCUACGGGAGGCAGCAGUGGGGAAUAUUGCACAAUGGGGGGAACCCUGAUGCAGCCAUGCCGCGCGUAUGGAGAAGGCCUUCGGGUUGUAAAGUACUUUCGGUAACGAGGAAGGUGGUGUAUCUAAUAGGUGCAUCAAUUGACGUUAAUUACAGAAGAAGCACCGGCUAACUCCGUGCCAGCAGCCGCGGUAAUACGGAGGGUGCGAGCGUUAAUCGGAAUGACUGGGCGUAAAGGGCAUGUAGGCGGAUAAUUAAGUUAGGUGUGAAAGCCCUGGGCUCAACCUAGGAAUUGCACUUAAAACUGGUUAACUAGAGUAUUGUAGAGGAAGGUAGAAUUCCACGUGUAGCGGUGAAAUGCGUAGAGAUGUGGAGGAAUACCGGUGGCGAAGGCGGCCUUCUGGACAGAUACUGACGCUGAGAUGCGAAAGCGUGGGGAGCAAACAGGAUUAGAUACCCUGGUAGUCCACGCUGUAAACGAUGUCGAUUUGGAGUUUGUUGCCUUGAGUGAUGGGCUCCGAAGCUAACGCGAUAAAUCGACCGCCUGGGGAGUACGGCCGCAAGGUUAAAACUCAAAUGAAUUGACGGGGGCCCGCACAAGCGGUGGAGCAUGUGGUUUAAUUCGAUGCAACGCGAAGAACCUUACCUGGUCUUGACAUCCACAGAAUCUAGCAGAGAUGCGAGAGUGCCUUCGGGAACUGUGAGACAGGUGCUGCAUGGCUGUCGUCAGCUCGUGUUGUGAAAUGUUGGGUUAAGUCCCGCAACGGGCGCAACCCUUAUCCUUUGUUGCCAGCGGUUUGGCCGGGAACUCAAAGGAGACUGCCGUUGAUAAAGCGGAGGAAGGUGGGGACGACGUCAAGUCAUCAUGGCCCUUACGACCAGGGCUACACACGUGCUACAAUGGCGUAUACAAAGGGAGGCGA